ACGCUUAUCCUUUGAUGAGCCGCC
rnacentral:siRNA from 1 species